UUGACCUCGGAUCAGGUAGGAAUACCCGCUGAACUUAAGCAUAUCAAAGCUGCGAAAGGAA
rnacentral:rRNA from 1 species